AGUGAACGCUGGCGGCGUGCCUAAUACAUGCAAGUCGAACGGACAAGUAAGAGCUUGCUCUUAUGAGUUAGUGGCGCACGGGUGAGUAAUGUAUAGCUAAUCUGCCCUACACUAGAGGACAACAGUUGGAAACGACUGCUAAUACUCUAUACUCCUGUCUUACAUAAGUUAGAUAGGGAAAGUUUUUUGGUGUAGGAUGAGGCUAUAUUGUAUCAGCUAGUUGGUGAGGUAAUGGCUCACCAAGGCUAUGACGCAUAACUGGUCUGAGAGGAUGAUCAGUCACACUGGAACUGAGACACGGUCCAGACUCCUACGGGAGGCAGCAGUAGGGAAUAUUGCUCAAUGGGGGAAACCCUGAAGCAGCAACGCCGCGUGGAGGAUGACACUUUUCGGAGCGUAAACUCCUUUUGUUAGGGAAGAAC
rnacentral:rRNA from 1 species